UUUCUAGUAGUAUCUCAAAAUAUAGUCGAUCUUAAUCUACUCAGAACUUAUUGUUGUUGAGCUGGCCUCAUAAGUACAACCUGAAGCCUAUGUUGACGACCUGGUUUACAAGUACGACCUAAGAUCUAUGUGAAUGAUCUAGUUUAAGAAUACAACCUCAACGCUAUAUGAGCGACUGAGAAAUUCAUCUGUCUGAUAUGAAAAUGAAGUAAUCCGACCUUGAAAUUCUCUUGUCCGACCUGAGAAUUAGUUUGACAUAAAAAAUUGCUAGUUAAGAGAACGUGGCCUAAUUUAUAGGGAAGUUGUGUGCCACGAUCUAUUUAAACCACCUCCAACUGACAACCACUUGCAACUGCUGAAGAAAGCGGGCUGAAGUUAAGGAGGUAACCGUACACGACGAAAAGUCUAUUUAAACUGAAGAGCGCAUCAGGUGAAAGGGUUAGAAAAAAUCAACCAAAAACUCUAGAAGUGACCUAUCUAAGAGCCUUAACAGAGCUUACCAGAUUUUGAGUUCUUAGAUCGGAAAAUUCCUUUCUUUUGAACCCAUUCACAAUUCUUCCCUCUCAUUUUCAUCUCUUUAUACAAAAUUUCUGACUUAAGCAUCGGAGGGUCUGCGCCGGAACCCCACCGGCGUAUCCUAACCGUGUUUUCUGGUUGACAGGUACAGAAAAUUGUGGUCAUAUUGGCGUUUGAGCUUGGAUUCGUACUGUAAUUCCCCUAAAGAAACAAAUUCAGCUGUUGAGAUCGUUUUUCGGCAUCAACAUCUUGGCGCCGUCUGUGGGGAACGGUGCGAAAAGCCAUACAUUUGACAAUUUAGAAGGAAGAGGCUAUCAGAUUAAGAUAUAACGAUGGAUGACAACGACGGAGAUAGGCAGACCUUGCGCCAAUUGGCGGAAGAAAUGAAUGCCACAACAGAUAAGAGAUGGAGAGAAGGGAUCGAGAGGCAAAUGGCAAAAUUUGAAGAGAUGAUUAGGGGGCUGGUUGAUGCCCAAGUCAGAGGAACUCAAGUUCGAGCUAGUGACCCAGAGAGUAGUGGAGCGCGAGAGAGAGAAGAGCUUGGUGGUGAACAGCAGAACGGAAUGGGACUACCACAAGUUGGGGUACGACAAGAGAAUAGAAGUGCAGGAGAACAAGUGAAUGAGUUGAGAGGGAGAAUCAGUGACUUAAAUCAAGAAAGGGAGAGGGAAGAGCUGAGAGACCCCCACCGGGCAAAUGAGCUUGAGCAGCGAAUGAUGCAAUUUUAAAAAACUUUAGAGGCAUUAAAGGCAAAAACAGAGGGCAAGAAAGUGGUAGGAAGGUUGUUACUUGAUAACGAGUCCCCCUUGGUACGUGAAGUGAUGGUGGUAACUUUGCCACCCAAGUAUGUGGUUCCAGCCUUGGUGUAUGAAGGCAAAACUGACCCGAAUCAUCACGUGGAGAAGUUUAAUGAGAUGACCGGGAUCCAAGGCUUGAAUGAUUUUCAAAGGUGCCGUGUUUUUCCUUUAACAUUAGAAGGACAAGCACGGGAGUGGUACCGGAGAUUAAAGAAGGGAAGCAUAGGAAAUUUCAAGGAGUUAUGUGAGCUUUUCACUGUGCAUUUUAGGGGUUCAUGCAUACCAGAGCAAGAUACGAGCAGAUUGAAAAAAAUUGGUCCAAGAAGAAUUUGAAAGUUUGAGGAGUUUUGUGACCAGGUAUCAUAAGGAGGUUACUGAUCUAGGGGCCUUUGAUCAUCCAGAUGCUCUGGAGGGAUUAAAGAAGGGGUUGAGAAUUAAUCGAUUGUGGAAUAGCUUAUAUAGUAAGGGGAUAACAACAUAUGCUGAGGCAUAUGACCAGGCAAAAUUGGACAUGAAAACUGAAGAUGCAGAGGAAGAAAAGAGAAGAAUGAAAAUGCAGACAGGGGGUCCGAUGAGAAAGGGAGACCUGAGAAUGAGAGGAGAUAGCUUUGGGUAUAGCUCGAGGAUGAACACGGGUGAUAGGCAUCAUUACGACAAAGGGUUGUUCAAUUAUAGACAACCAGAAAGGCCGGGUCGAAAUUGGGAAGGAAAUCGUGAAAGAAGAGAAAUCUCAUUAGUAGGAAGGGGCCGAGAAGGAGGAAAUAAUUAUGGGAGGAACCAACGGGAGAACCGAGUAAGAGAUUACAAUAGGUUGCCACAACCUGUAGACCGGAGAGGACCAAGAUCUAACAAUGGGGUGAAUUUAUUAGAACAGAGUGGAAGAUACACACCACUGAACACGAGCAGAGCAUAAAUAUAUGCUGCAAUAAAAGACAAGGGGUUACUAACACCGCCAAAGCAGAUUGUAGGGGGAUUGGGCGGAAGUGCUCACCACAAGUAUUGCGAGUUUCACAAGGUGACCGGACAUGGAACUGUGGAUUGCAUUGACUUGAAAGAACAGAUUGAAUGGCUAGUGCAAAAUCAAUAUCUAAAGGAGUAUGUGGAUGACCAAGGAAGAGGUGGGAGAAGAGGAGACAUCAUAGAUAAUGUAGCGAUGAUGAUUAUGGGAGGGCGGACCUUAGCAGGAGACUCAAACCGCUCAAGGAGAAAUUAUAGCAGAUAUUCAUUAAAAAGUUUUGAGGUAAAUUUUAAUGUUCCGACACCAAAGAAGCAGCGGGUUCAAAGGGUACCGAUCAUGUUCACAGACGAGGACGAGGAAGCAGUCGCACAUCCACAUGAGGAUGCGCUUGUAGUGAAGGUUGUCUUGGCAGGGCAGGAAUUGAACCGAGCUUUUGUAGAUGGGGGAAGCUCAGUCGACAUUUUAUUUAAGCAAACUCUGGACGAUCUACAAAUAGGAGACCUCAGGCUUGAUCCGGUCAGAACGUCACUAAAGGGGUUCGGUGGAGCUGAGCUGAUUCCCCUUGGGUUGAUUGACUUGCCACUGACAAUAGGGUCCAGCCCACUACAGAAGACAAUGAUGGUGACAUGGUUGGUAGUUGAUGAGCCAAGCCCUUAUCAAGUUAUUUUGGGCAGACCAUUCAAUAGGAUAGCAGGAGCAGUGAGCUCAACCCAUAUGCAAUGUGUGAAGUUUAGAGUUCAAGGUGGAGUUGGAGUGAUGAGGGGCCAGCAACAAGUGGCUCGAAGCUGUUACGCUACAGCUGCGAGAGAAUCCAUGCAGAUCAUAAGUAUCGAUCCACGAGCUGAAAAUAGGUUGUGCCAACAGCGACCUAAUGAAAAAAUGAAACAAGUGCCGGUAAGUGAGGUUGAUCCGAGCAGAGUGGUAAGAGUGGGAACAAAAAUGAUAGAUGACAUCUCCAAUGAGCUUAAGAUUUAUUGAUGGAGUUCUAGGGCCGAGCUGGGAAGGACCAUAUAAAGUGCUACACUCAUUUGGUAAUGGGGCAUAUAAGUUAGGUUAUCAGGAUGGCAGGGUCGUUGGCAAGACAUGGAAUGCAGAGCACCUGCGAAAAUACUAUCAGCUAAGAUAUAUCUUAUUUAUGAUGUUCUUAUUUGUUUGUUUUCUUUAAAUAUGCUAAGAAAGUUUGGUUCUUUGUUGUUUUAAUUUGUUAUGUGUUCAAUUCUGUAACUUUUGCUAUAUUAAUAUCAAUGAGGUUAUUUAGAAGUGCAACUUUAUUUCUUAUCUACUUUUGACCGGUCUUAUUGAGAUUGAGAUCGACAUUGCGGCCUUGUUGAUGUCCUACCUGAAAAAUUUAUCCAAUCUUAUUGAGAUUGAUAUCGACAUUGCGACCUUGUUGAGGUCCAACGUGAAAACGUUAUCCAAUCUUAUUGAGAUUGAGAUUGACAUGGCGGCCUUAUUGAGGUUUAACGUGAAAAAAUUCAUCCAAUCUUAUUAAGAUUGAGAUCGACAUUUUGGACCGUAUUGAGGUCCAACGUGAAAAGAUUUAUCCAAUCUUAUUGAGUUUGAUAUCGACAUUGCGACCUUGUUGAGGUCCAACGUGAAAACGUUAUCCAAUCUUAUUGAGAUUGAGAUCGACAUGGUGGCCUUAUUGAGGUCCAACGUGAAAAAAUCCAUCCAAUCUUAUUGAGAUCGAGAUCGACAUUGCGGCCUUAUUGAGGUCCAACAUGAAAAAAUUUAUCCAAUCUUAUAGAGAUUAAGAUCGACAUUGCGGCCUUAUUGAGGCCCUACCUAAAAAAUUUUAUCUAAUCUUAUUGAGAUUAAGAUCGACAUUGCGGUCUUGUUGAGGUCCUACCUAAAAAUUUAUCCAAUCUUAUUGAGAUUGAGAUCAACAUUGCGGCCUUGUUGAGGCCCUACCUAAAAAAUUUUAUCUAAUCUUAUUGAGAUUAAGAUCGACAUUGCGGUCUUGUUGAGGUCCUACCUAAAAAUUUAUCCAAUCUUAUUGAGAUUGAGAUCAACAUUGCGGCCUUGUUGAGGCCCUACCUAAAAAAUUUUAUCUAAUCUUAUUGAGAUUAAGAUCGACAUUGCGGUCUUGUUGAGGUCCUACCUAAAAAUUUAUCAAAUCUUAUUGAGAUUGAGGUUGUCAUUUUGACCUUGUUGAGGUCUAAUUGUAAUUCGACCAUGUUGAGAUUGAAGACGGCUAUUACCUUGUGGUUAGACAACUUUAACUUUUAUCUUGUUGAGAUCUACAUUUUUCAAUUUUAUCGAAAUUGGCUUUUAUCUUAUUUAGGUCGACCAUUUCCUUAUUGAGGUUGGCCAUAAGCUAAGUUCUACAAUUUUCUAUUUAUUGAGGUUGGCCAUUGCCCGUGGAGUUUGACCAUAGCCUAUUUUGUUGAGGUCGGCCAUUGCCUUAUUGAGGUCAGCCAUAAGAUAAGUUCUACAAUUUUCUAUUUAUUGAGGUUGGCCAUUGCCUCGUGGAGUUUAGCCAUAGCCUUAACAUUUACGUUCUACAAUGUUUUAUUUUGUUGAGGUCAAUCAUAAGCUUAACAUUUAAGUUCUUUAAUUUUCAACCUUAUUGAGGUCGACAAUCUAUCUUGUUAAGGUUGACAUUUUCGUGAGGUCAACAUUUUCCUUAUCGUGAGGUCGGCGUUUUAGCUCUACACUUAACCUUGUUGAGGUCGACAAUCUAUCUUGUUAAGGUUGACAUUUUCGUGAGGUCGACAAUCUAUCUUGUUAAGGUUGACAUUUUCGUGAGGUCGACAAUCUAUCUUGUUAAGGUUGACAUUUUCCUUAUCCUAAGGUCGGCGUUUAAGCUCUACACUUAACCUUGUUGAGGUCGACAAUCUAUCUUGUUAAGAUUGACAUUUUUAUGAGGUCAACAUUUUCCUUGUCGUGAGGUCGGCAUUUUAGCUCUACACUUAACCUUGUUGAGGUCGACAAUCUAUCUUGUUAAGAUUGACAUUUUCGUGAGGUCAACAUUUUCCUUAUCCUGAGGUCGGCGUUUAAGCUCUACACUUAACCUUGUUGAGGUCGAUAAUCUAUUUUGUUAAGGUUGACAUUUUCGUGAGGUGAACAUUUUCCUUAUCCUGAGGUCGGCGUUUAAGCUCUACACUUAACCUUGUUGAGGUCGACAAUCUAUUUUGUUAAGGUUGACAUUUUCGUGAGGUCAAUAUUUUCCUUGUCGUGAGAUCGUGAGGUCGGCCAUUGCCUUGUUGAGGUCGAUCAUAAGCUUAACAUUUAAGUUCUAUAAUUUUCAACAUUGUUGAGGUCGACAAUCUAUCUUGUUAAGGUUGACAUUUUCGUGAGGUCAACAUUUUCCUUAUCGUGAGGUCGGCGUUUUAGCUCUACACUUAACUUUGUUGAGGUCGACAAUCUAUCUUGUUAAGGUUGACAUUUUAUGAGGUCAACAUUUUCCUUGUUGUGAGGUCGGCGUUUUAGCUCUACACUUAACCUUGUUGAGGUCGACAAUCUAUUUUGUUAAGGUUGACACUUUCGUGAGGUCAACAUUCUCUUUGUUGUGAGAUCGUGAGGUCGGCGUUUUAGCUUUAUACUUAACCUUGUUGAGGUCAACAAUCUAUUUUGUUAAGGUCGACACUUUCGUGAGGUCAACAUUCUCCUUGUUGUGAGAUCGUGAGGUCGGCGUUUUAGCUUUACACUUAACCUUGUUGAGGUCGACAAUUUAUUUUUGAUAAGGUUGACAUUUUUGUGAGGUCAACAUUUUCCUUAUCGAGAUUGACAUCGAAAUGAUAGAAUCUUGGUGAAUUCAAGGUCAUUGCUUGGUGUUAUUGUUACCAAAGUUGACCAUAUCUAUUUGUUUGACCUCAACAAAGUCUUAAAUGGGCUUAGCCUACGGAACGCAAGUCAUAACCAACCCCAAUAAAUAAAGAGCAAAAAAGGCAAGGUCAGCAUAAUAAUUAUCCGACUACAAAGGCAAAAUAAAGUUUAGUAGCAUACGGUCUACACAAGUUCAUAUUGCAAAAAAGGGCAAGCAUUUUAAUACUUAAAUUUAGGAAGUUCUAUCUUGGUCUUCAACAACCCUACUAGUUAGGGAGACCUCACCCUCAACCCUGACCCUAUCACCUCGAGGCAAUUGGUCAUGGUUAGUUUCUUGGUCCACACCUGAAGGUUUCUUCUUACCCUUCUCUUUGCUCAUUGUUUCGCUCUACGCCGUCUUUCUUUUGCUUGCGGCCAUAUUGCUCUUUCUUAAUUAUUUUAGUUUCCAAUACCGUUCAUAUCUUCUCAGUAUUGAAAACUGGGGGACUGGUGUUGGGUUUUGAGAAAAUUUUUCUAUUAGUUUCCAACACCAGCAAUGACUUUCUGGUAUUGAAAACUAGGGGACUGGUGUUUGGGUUGGAUUUUUCUAGUAGUAUCUCAAAAUAUAGUCGAUCUUAAUCUACUCAGAACUUAUUGUUGUUGAGCUGGCCUCAUAAGUACAACCUGAAACCUAUGUUGACCACCUGGUUUACAAGUACGACCUAAGAUCUAUGUGAAUGAUCUAGUUUAAGAAUACAACCUCAACGCUAUAUGAGCGAUUGAGAAAUUCAUCUGUCUGAUCUGAAAAUGAAGUAAUCCGACCUUGAAAUUCUCUUGUCCGACCUGAGAAUUAGUUUGACAUAAAAAAUUGCUAGUUAAGAGAACGUGGCCUAAUUUAUAGGGAAGUUGUGUGCCACGAUCUAUUUAAACCACCUCCAACUGACAACCACUUGCAACUGCUGAAGAAAGCGGGCUGAAGUUAAGGAGGUAACCGUACACGACGAAAAGUCUAUUUAAACUGAAGAGCGCAUCAGGUGAAAGGGUUAGAAAAAAUCAACCAAAAACUCUAGAAGUGACCUAUCUAAGAGCCUUAACAGAGCUUACCAGAUUUUGAGUUCUUAGAUCGGAAAAUUCCUUUCUUUUGAACCCAUUCACAAUUCUUCCCUCUCAUUUUCAUCUCUUUAUACAAAAUUUCUGACUUAAGCAUCGGAGGGUCUGCGCCGGAACCCCACCGGCGUAUCCUAACCGUGUUUUCUGGUUGACAGGUACAGAAAAUUGUGGUCAUAUUGGCGUUUGAGCUUGGAUUCGUACUGUAAUUCCCCUAAAGAAACAAAUUCAGCUGUUGAGGUCGUUCUUCGGCAUCAACAC
rnacentral:lncRNA from 1 species